rnacentral:rRNA from 1 species
AGCGACCUGGAAAGGUCCGUCGUAGAGGGUAACAACCCCGUAGUCGAAACUUCGUUCUCUCUUGAAUGUAUCCUGAGUACGGCGGAACACGUGAAAUUCCGUCGGAAUCUGGGAGGACCAUCUCCCAAGGCUAAAUACUCCCUAGUGAUCGAUAGUGAACCAGUACCGUGAGGGAAAGGUGAAAAGCACCCCGGAAGGGGAGUGAAAGAGAUCCUGAAACCGUGUGCCUACAAAUAGUCAGAGCCCGUUAACGGGUGAUGGCGUGCCUUUUGUAGAAUGAACCGGCGAGUUACGAUCCCGUGCGAGGUUAAGCUGAAGAGGCGGAGCCGCAGCGAAAGCGAGUCUGAAUAGGGCGUUUAGUACGUGAUCGUAGACCCGAAACCAGGUGAUCUACCCAUGUC